rnacentral:misc_RNA from 1 species
AACUUUCAGCAACGGAUCACUUGGCUCUCGCAUCGAUGAAGAAAGCAGCGAAAUGCGAUACGUAAUGUGAAUUGCAGAAUUCAGUGAAUCAUCGAAUCUUUGAACGCAUAUUGCGCUCUCUGGUAUUCCGGAGAGCAUGCUUGUUUGAGUAUCAGUAAACACCUCAAAUCCCUCUACUUGUUGGAGGAAUUUGGACUUGAGCAAUCCCAACUUUUCGAAAGAGAAGGCGGGUUGCUUGAAAUGCAGCUGCAGCGAUCUUGUGUCUUCUGAGGUAUCAGCAUACGUAGUUAAUCCAGUCAAACGGAUUAUCACUCUUGCUGCAGCUAACACAGACGGUGCAUAGUAGUUAUGCCUUACUUAGGCAUGAUUCAACAGGUCGCGCAAGCGAUCUGUGAACACGAGGGAAUAUCAAGCAAGACUACCCACUUAAAUAAAGGAUGGCAGUAAGCGGCUGCU